rnacentral:rRNA from 1 species
GACGGGGGAUGCAAGUGUUAUCCGGAAUCACUGGGCGUAAAGCGCACGUAGGCGGACUCUUAAGUCGGUGGUGAAAUCCUGGAGCUCAACUCCAGAACUGCCUUCGAUACUGAGAGUCUCGAGUCCGGGAGAGGUGAGUGGAACUGCGAGUGUAGAGGUGAAAUUCGUAGAUAUUCGCAAGAACACCAGUGGCGAAGGCGGCUCACUGGCCCGGUACUGACGCUGAGGUGCGAAAGCGUGGGGAGCAAACAGG